rnacentral:lncRNA from 1 species
GGGGUUUUUUGGUAUAAUUAUUGGUGGCCUGCAUAAAUUGUUAAUUUUUGUAAUCUUAUAUGUAUGUAACUCGUAAUGUCCGGUUUUGUAUACCUUAGCGGCGGUUUUAUAUAUUUUUUAAAAAUAUUUAAAAUAGAACGCACUGUGUUCUAUUCAUGUAUUCCAUUUUGUAUUUUUGAGCUGAAGAUGGUAGGAAUACCGAAAGCGCUCCUGAGUUUCGAAAAUAAAUGUAUUUUUGUGUAUAUUAUAUAUGGUCUGCUCUUUAGUGCUAGAUUUGGAUACUGUUUAGAGUUACUACCCGUAGUAGAGCAGUUUUUUUG